rnacentral:lncRNA from 1 species
UAUAAAAAUAUUGAUUAUAUAAAAAUAUUGAUAUAUAGAUACUUUUUUAAUAUACAGUGAAACCUGAUAAAACCGAACCCUGAAUAAACCGGAAACCUGUCUAAUCCAAACUUGUUCUGAAGAACAAUCAUAUCACAUUUUAUGCAUUGUGAACCUGAUCAAACCGAAUACCUGCCAAAACCGAACAAAAUCUCAAGUCCCGAAAGGGUUCGGUUUAGUUAGGUUUCACUGUAUAAGGCUAAAU